UCCUUGAUGGCCCAGUGGCUAAGGUUGCUUGCUCCCAAUGCAGGGGGUCUGGGUUCGAUCCCUGGUCAGGGAA
rnacentral:tRNA from 1 species